GUCAUGCUUAGGGAUGUGACUCCAAACAGGGCCAAUCAUUCCACACUCACAUGCAUGCUCAGCCAGCCACACACACACAUACACUAACAAAGUCUGCUAACUCAAUACAUACAUGCCAUAUGUAUGUUGCUUAGAAGGAGCAAGGAGGGAUGGUAAAGGGGUCCCCUCAGUGAUUCUUGAGCAGGGGCCCUAUGAUUCCUAAU